CUGGCUGUAAACGAUGGAUACUAGGCGUUGAGAGUAUCGACCCUCUCAGUGUCGUAGCUAACGCGUUAAGUAUCCCGCCUGGGGAGUACGCGCGCAAGCGUGAAACUCAAAGUAAUUGACGGGGGCCCGCACAAGCGGUGGAGUAUGUGGUUUAAUUCGAUGCAACGCGAAGAACCUUACCAGGGCUUGACAUGUCCGGAACCCUGCCCAAAGGCGGGGGUGCCUACGGGAACCGGAACACAGGUGGUGC
rnacentral:rRNA from 1 species